rnacentral:rRNA from 1 species
GACGAACGCUGGCGGCGUGCUUAACACAUGCAAGUCGAACGGAAAGGCCCUGCUUUUGUGGGGUGCUCGAGUGGCGAACGGGUGAGUAACACGUGAGUAACCUGCCCUUGACUUUGGGAUAACUUCAGGAAACUGGGGCUAAUACCGGAUAGGAGCUCCUGCUGCAUGGGGGGGGUUGGAAAGUUUCGGCGGGUGGGGAUGGACUCGCGGCUUAUCAGCUUGUUGGUGGGGUAGUGGCUGACCAAGGCUUUGACGGGUAGCCGGCCUGGGCGGGUGACCGGCCACAUGGGGCCUGCGAGACGGCCCAGAGUCCUACGGGGGGCAGCAGUGGGGAAUAUUGCCCAAUGGGCGGGAGCCUGAUGCAGCGGCGCCGCGUGCGGGAUGACGGCCUUCGGGUUGUAAACCGCUUUCGCCUGUGACGAAGCGUGAGUGACGGUAAUGGGUAAAGAAGCACCGGCUAACUACGUG